GAUGAACGCUGGCGGCGUGCCUAAUACAUGCAAGUCGAACGGAGAUCCGCAAGGGUCUUAGUGGCGAACGGGUGAGUAACGCGUGGGAAACCUGCCCUCGAGUGUGGAAUAACAACUCUAACGGGUUGCUAAUACCGCAUAACAUUGCGGACCGCAUGAUCUGCAAUCAAAGAUGGCCUCUACUUGUAAGCUGUCGCUUGAGGAUGGUCCCGCGUCCCAUUAGCUAGUUGGUAGGGUAACGGCCUACCAAGGCGACGAUGGGUAGCCGGCCUGAGAGGGUGGUCGGCCACACUGGAACUGAGACACGGUCCAGACUCCUACGGGAGGCUG
rnacentral:rRNA from 1 species